rnacentral:lncRNA from 11 species
AGAGACUUAUUAUUAUCAAAAACAGGGAGGGAAGAGUGGCUGAAGGAGUGGAAAUUGAUCACGGAAGCUUCUCACCGGCUCCUGGAGGAAGCAAAAGAAUGCAGAAAGGGGAAACUGCAAGUCUGGUAUAGAAUCAUAGAAUCAUAGAAUAGUAGAGUUGGAAGAGACCAC